AUAGCGGCGUUUUUAAACGCCACUAUAUGAAAUAACGGCGUCUUA
rfam:Corchorus olitorius cultivar O-4 contig20287, whole genome shotgun sequence.